rnacentral:misc_RNA from 1 species
GAUGAAGAACGUAGCGAAAUGCGAUAAGUAAUGUGAAUUGCAGAAUUCAGUGAAUCAUCGAAUCUUUGAACGCACAUUGCGCCCGCCAGUAUUCUGGCGGGCAUGCCUGUUCGAGCGUCAUUUCAACCAUCAAGCCCCCGGCUUGUGUUGGGGACCUGCGGCUGCCGCAGGCCCUGAAAACCAGUGGCGGGCUCGCUGUCACACCGAGCGUAGUAGAUUUUCAUCUCGCUCAGGGCGUNNNGCGGGUUCCGGCCGUAAAAAGCCUUAUUUACCCAAGGUUGACCUCGGAUCAGGUAGGAAGACCCGCUGAACUUAAGCAUAUCAAUAAGCGGAGGA